ensembl:lncRNA
AUUCUGCCUCAGGCUCUGUGAUCAGGUCAGGGGGAAUGGAGGAACCGUUUAGGUAUCAGUUUGGGGGCGUUCAGCAUCAGGCCAGCCUUGGUCUCCUGCUCGCUCUGACCUUGCAGUCUCGAGUCUGCCUACCUGCCUUGGCAUUUUCAGGACUGGAAGCUUGCCUUGUUAUCACAAGAAUUUGCAGGAAUCUGACUCCCCUGUUGCCUGUCAAGCUUAAAGUAGUUUUAGCUCACUUGGAGCUGAAAUCUUCUAGGAAAACCUGCAUGAACCCAUCGCAUCAAUCAAGUUUUGCACCACAAGCCCAUCACACUCCAUCUGACCAAACUUGAUAUGAGACUGCCCUCUGAUUGUGAAAGAGUGGAGUUGGGUAGAUUAAACCAUCCAUGCCCAACCUUUCUGUCUGCACAUAUAAUCUGGGGGUUUGGGUGGAAGCUACUGGAACAACAGGACAUCCAGGAGUCUCAAGGACAUCACAGAGUGUGAAGAAAACAAAAUGAACACUUCUACUUCUGAACUAAAUCCUACCAAACAUUCCAGGAAGCCUGGCUUUUAAUUCUGCAUGUGUUCAUCCACAUCACCCUUCCAAGAUUUUGGCCCUGAAUCAUAUGCCUUCAUUUCAAAGAACCAGUCAAUUAAGUAUCUUAAACUGCUGUGAAGCAAUAAAAAUUUCCCUAAACAAUAACUAUACAGAGGAUCACUUCCAAGACUGAGAUUUUGUUAUCUCAUUGCAGGCAUUCUAAAUUAAGCCCUGGAGGAACAUUUUACUGCUAAUAAAUAAUCAUUUGUUGUAAUGUGUGUUAUUGCUGAGAUAAUAGGCUAUGUCAAUAUCUACUCAUGUUAUUGUAACUGGGAAAUAAGAUGGGGGAGUGCUGCUGUGUGUCUCAGUAUGGAGGAAAACCAAAUGUUAAUUUUCAUAGUGUCAUGUUUGGUUUAAAUUAUCUAUUCUAAAAUAAAGGCAUGUAUUCACCUUCAAUGUAAUGAAUUCAUUUGCUAUCCAGCCACAGAUGAUUUCUAUCAAAUUUCUCUCCAAACCAAUUUUAUUUGAUAGGACACAGAAGAACAAAAACAGUCCACAACUUACCAGUUGAUAAAUACAUUGAAAU